AUUGAACGCUGGCGGUAGGCCUAACACAUGCGAGUCGAACGGCAGCACAGAGGAGCUUGCUCCUUGGGUGGCGAGUGGCGGACGGGUGAGGAAUACAUCGGAAUCUACUCUGUCGUGGGGGAUAACGUAGGGAAACUUACGCUAAUACCGCAUACGACCUACGGGUGAAAGCAGGGGACCUUCGGGCCUUGCGCGAUUGAAUGAGCCGAUGUCGGAUUAGCUAGUUGGCGGGGUAAAGGCCCACCAAGGCGACGAUCCGUAGCUGGUCUGAGAGGAUGAUCAGCCACACUGGAACUGAGACACGGUCCAGACUCCUACGGGAGGCAGCAGUGGGGAAUAUUGGACAAUGGGCGCAAGCCUGAUCCAGCCAUACCGCGUGGGUGAAGAAGGCCUUCGGGUUGUAAAGCCCUUUUGUUGGGAGAGAAAUCCAGCUGGCUAAUACCCGGUUGGGAUGACGGUACCCAAAGAAUAAGCACCGGCUAACUUCGUGCCAGCCGCCGCAGUAA
rnacentral:rRNA from 1 species